UGUAUAAGAAAGGUAAGAUAACUGUAGGCCUAAGAACAAACCAGUAAGCAACACUUCUCCAUAGUUCCUGCCUCUGCUCCUGCUUGAGUUCCUGCCCUGACUGCCUUCAAUGAUAGACUGAGAACAAAAGAAUUUUGGCAACGCAGGACCAGCCAGAUAAGCCUUAUUUAUGGCUAGCUUCCCGGCUUCUGAGCGCCUCUAAGAAUCAUUCUUCGCAGAGGGAAGUGCAUUAGCCCACAGCUCACAUUUUUUGGAACCACAGCCACAGGGUGAACACGGAAGAAGCUGAUGUACCAUACUUCCUGGGCUCUUGUGCCUCCCUGACCUAAGAUCUGAGAGCUGUCCACAGUGACUGCUGCACUCCAGUGUCUGAUGGAUGUUACCAUUUGUGGAUCUAAUCACUGGCCGCGUCGGUCCUUCUCCCUCAACAUGGAAUCAAAUGCUACUUGCAAAAUGGAGUCUCUCUCUUAGGUCUUGACACAGACUGAGAAACCACUGUUUUAUACAGUAUGCGGGGAGUAGAGUAUAACCUGAUCUCAACAUAACUGAAAGACAAGAAAAGAUGUGGAGAGAAGGUGCAGGCUCAGCUGGGCCUCGGAGUUUGAUGCAUCUUUACCAGGACCUCUCCACUGUUCCUCACUCCCUCUUCACCCCACAGUCAGGCUUCUGUUCCUCUGCUCCCAUCACCCUCUUGUAUUGCUAGGUGGUCAGAUACCAGCGCUUUGAUGGUCACCUGGGAUGGACCCCUCCCUCGUCAGCAGUUUAUGUACUUGGAGCUGGGAAAACAGGACUCUGAUUAUUGGUCAAAGAUUGAGUACUGAGUCAUUUCUGGCCCUGGAGGGAAACAUGACAUUCUUCCCCAAAGAUCAUACGAUUACUCUCCAGCCAGGGGCUUUCUGGUAAAGAACAAAGAUGUAACACUGUCAGAGUUAAUCCAAAUGGGACUGUCAAUCACCCGAGUAGAAAGCUGUCUGUUCCAGAAACUUUAAGAAAUAGUAUAAAGUCUACCUAGGCAUAAGGAUGACCCAAUGGCCCCUUUAGCUACUGUCCACCCUCAUUUUUGAAGAUGCUCCACUUUGCUUUGUAAUAAACUAUUUU
rnacentral:sRNA from 1 species